UACGAAGGGGACUAGCGUUGUUCGGAAUUACUGGGCGUAAAGCGUGCGCAGGCGGCUUCUCAAGUCAGGGGUGAAAGCCCAGAGCUCAACUCUGGAAUUGCCUUUGAGACUGAGUGGCUUGAGUACGAGAGAGGUGAGUGGAACUGCGAGUGUAGAGGUGAAAUUCGUAGAUAUUCGCAAGAACACCAGUGGCGAAGGCGGCUCACUGGCCCGAUACUGACGCUGAGGCACGAAAGCGUGGGGAGCGAACCGG
rnacentral:rRNA from 1 species